GUACGGCCGCAAGGUUAAAACUCAAAUGAAUUGACGGGGGCCCGCACAAGCGGUGGAGCAUGUGGUUUAAUUCGAUGCAACGCGAAGAACCUUACCUGGUCUUGACAUCCACGGAAGUUUUCAGAGAUGAGAAUGUGCCUUCGGGAACCGUGAGACAGGUGCUGCAUGGCUGUCGUCAGCUCGUGUUGUGAAAUGUUGGGUUAAGUCCCGCAACGAGCGCAACCCUUAUCCUUUGUUGCCAGCGGUCCGGCCGGGAACUCAAAGGAGACUGCCAGUGAUAAACUGGAGGAAGGUGGGG
rnacentral:rRNA from 1 species